AGAGGAGGCUGAUGGGGUAGGCACAGGGGACUGAGGAGAGUCAGUAGGUCACCGUUAUCAGCACAGGCUGUUGAGAGGGGAGGGAAUCCCACUACUGCUCUGUUUCUGUCACGAGCUGAGGCAACAGGAAGCUUGUGUCUGACUCAGAAGCUCCACCUGCACUGCGGGUUUGGAACAGACUGCCUUAGCUUGUUCCGACACCUUCCAUGUCUGCUGCAGAAGUGUAUCUGUAGACACUACGAGAAAGUAGUUCUGCUCCAUCAUGACUUUCUCCAUGAUGCUCUGCCUCACCCCAGCCCUGGACUCGUGGAGUCAGGUGACCACAGUCGGAGAUUUCUGAAGCACUUGACAACGGUAUUCAGGAGGUGACCCAGAUCAUGCUCUCCUUCCAAAGACAGAUCGAUUCCUUGGCAGCUGUGGUGCAUCAGAACCAAUGGAGACUAGAUGUUCUUACAGUGAAAGAAGGUGGUCUUUGGCUUUUCCUUCAAGAAGAAUGCUGCUUCUACAUCAAAGAGUCCGGAAUAGUGAGAAACAAAAUCCAGCAGCUACAAUCAGACAUCCGAAAAGACAGGGAACAGCAUGAGGCCUCUAAUUCCUGGGUUUUUUGAAAACCCUAUAUGGAAGUGGAUACUGCCUUUCCUUACCCCACUUCUGGCAUCACUAUUUGCUCCCUGCCUCAUUAACCUCAUCUCCACAUUCCUCCAAUGACAAACUCAAAAAAAUUCUAACCAAACAGUUAAUCAGUUCUUUUUACAGGAUUACCAACCACUGUCCACAGAGGAACCUGAUGCAGAAAAACUAUCAAAUGAGCCCUGAUGGUGAGGGUCAGCUACACCCCAAAAUCAAUGAUGUUCCUGGAUAGUAGGAAGUAGUUUAAGAGAUCAGAUGUCCCUAUUCCGGCCUCACCAUUGGUGUGAUGAUAAAAAAGAAGAAAAAGAGAGGAAUGUUAGCAUCAGGUGCAUCCCUGGACAGCUAGACGCCUCUUUACAGCUACCUCUAGGACCCAGGGACAAGACUCAAUGGCUCAUUGCCAUGGCACCUGGUACAUGUUCCUUUGCAAAGUCACACCUGGAUAAAACACUCAUCCCCCCACCCCACCAGUACACAGCUCCUUCCUCUUCCUCCUCCUCCUCCUCCUCUUCUUCUUUCUUCUCCUCCUCUCACCUCCCCUCCCCUUCACAGAGGCAGCCUCUGCCAAUAAAAUCUCUCACGUGAGACCUGUGGCUUGGUGUGAUUUGUCUGCCACUGCACAGCAUAUUCUAACACUCUCAUUCCUCAAAACCUCAUUCCCCUGCAGUCUUCUGCACUGCUAUCCUGAAGUGACACUCACUGAUGUUCUGCGCUCCUCGUGGGACCCUCUAUGUGCCUGUGUUCUCUACUUAUUCCUUCUUGGCACUUCAAGCUUGGCCAUGAGAAUGCCCUCUCUUGGUUUCUACUUCUGAUUCAGUGAUCUAUUUUCUUAGCUUUUGUUGAAAAAUACCUCUGUCUACAAAGUACAUGGCUCUGAUUUCUACCUUUUGGGUCCCUUACGAUACUGGGGAUCAAACCCAGGGCCUUGUAAUACUUCUGUAUGCAAACACCGUACCACAGAGCUACACCCCCCAUCCUUUGUUCUUCAUUCUCUGAACCCCUAGGUGCCCCAAUUGCUUUUCAUUGUUGCUUUGUUUUUCUCUUGAAAUAGUGCAUUGUUAUAGAAAUCUUCUCCAUUCUGGGAGAGUUAUCUAUUUUCUUAGGAUAUCCUGGUCUAAUCAAAGUUUUUUCUUCUAUGAAGUCACUCAAAUCAAACCCUAGAGGUAUGUGUGCUCCAGAGUUUCCUUCACAGAUCUACAUAGAAUACCUAACAACGUCUCCAAAACAAGACUUAGGUUUCCUUGGGUUUCAGACACUAGGGUGUUUCAUGUUAUACUGAUAGGAAAGACAGAAACACCCCAUUUAUUCCUGGAGGUGGGCUCUCUGGUUGUACAUCCAGACCAUUGAGCCACUGAUGCCCAGCAUCUUCUGGAAAUAUUAGUUGGUUUUAAAUCUGUGUUUGUCUCAUUUCAAUUUUUAAAUAUGAAGUGGAGAGAAAGAGAGAG
rnacentral:sRNA from 1 species